rnacentral:lncRNA from 1 species
GUGCAGUGUGGUGAGUGCAGUGAGUGCAGUGUGGUGGGUGCAGUGCAGUGCAGCGCAGCACAGUGCAGUGCAGCGAGUGUAGUGCAGUGAGUGUAGUUUGUUAGUGAGUUUGUGCAGUCAGUAUGAGUCAGCAGAGGCAGUUGAGGCCAGAGAACUAGGAGCCAGAUCAGAACAAAUUUCAAAUGUUAGUUUGAGGCCAAGCCGAGCAAUUCAGUGAGAAGCUGAGAGAAGCCAGAUUGAAUCAGAACAGCAGAGUUGAAUCUGCCAUCUAGAGUUCAGAAAGAACUGCAAAGGGCGAACGUAUUCAGAAGUAAGCCUCCAGGAUGACAAUUGAAUUAAGUGAAUAAAUUUACAAACUUUAGAUUCAGUCCUAAUAUCAGAGGUUCUGGAACAAUCCUUGCAUUAUUAUAGAGAAUCAGAGGCACGUGCUCCAAGCUAACUCUCUACUACUACCUUAAGUAAGACCUUGGUCUCAAAGCUUUAUUCACUCUCUCAUGAGAAGACAGGUACACUGGAGACAGAUAGCUCCGUGUGGUGACUGACACGGACCACGUCGAAGACUGCUAUUUGCUGAAGAUGAACAGGUGAAGUCAGCCCCAAGCUGCCAACAAUGCAGGGGACCCGUGCUCACACAGGACCAUGGUGAUGUUGCCUGGGUCCCUUGAAAAGAAGCCUGGAGACUCCACGUGCUAUUCACAAAGGCUUGCCUGUGCAAGGCACAGGGCCACCCAACCCAGCACCCUUCUCUGGGCACCUGGUUUUUCUCGGGACAUCAACCUUCAUCCACUCAGUCUAUAUGAUGAUGGAAGGGGCUGCUUCUGUUCCUGUCCUGGGCCACAGUGACAGGCUCUGCCACAGUCAUGCCAUGCAAGCCAUCCCAAGGAGACUGAAUUCCCUAAGUCUGGAACAUAUAUUGGAGAAAGAACAGGAUUUCUUGAUCCCUUUCUGCUCUGUAAACCACUUAAGCUGACUUCUUUCCCAUCACUUGUAGCCAAUAACGUAUAAUCUAAAUAAACUGAUAUUUAACUUCAA